rnacentral:rRNA from 1 species
AUUGAACGCUGGCGGAAUGCUUUACACAUGCAAGUCGAACGGCAGCACGGACUUCGGUCUGGUGGCGAGUGGCGAACGGGUGAGUAAUGUAUCGGAACGUGCCCAGUCGUGGGGGAUAACGUAGUGGAAAUGACGCUAAUACCGCAUACGAUCUAUGGAUGAAAGCGGGGGAUCGCAAGAGCUCGCGCGACUGGAGCGGCCGAUAUCAGACUAGGUAGUUGGUGGGGUAAAGGCCCACCAAGCAAACGAUCUGUAGCUGGUCUGAGAGGACGACCAGCCACACUGGAACUGAGACACGGUCCAGACUCCUACGGGAGGCAGCAGUGGGGAAUUUUGGACAAUGGGCGAAAGCCUGAUCCAGCCAUUCCGCGUGCAGGAUGAAGGCCCUCGGGUUGUAAACUGCUUUUGUACAGAACGAAAAGGUUUCUACUAAUACUAGGAGCUCAUGACGGUACUGUAAGAAUAAGCACCGGCUAACUACGUGCCAGCAGCCGCAGUAA